UUUUUCUUUUUGAUUUUCUCAUUGGUUGGGGAAUCACCUUUUUUGUAUUGGAUUGGAUUGAAUUUAAUAGAUUAUAGCCAUCGAAGUAGAAAAUCUACUUCGAUAAUAAUAGCUUCCUAUUCAAGCUAUUUUAAUUUAUAGUUUGAAUUUUACAAGAAGCUUGAUUGUAGUGGAAAGUAUAGUCAACAUCUGUAAGUAACACCAGCACAAAAUGGAAGUCCUUGUGAAGGGUAUAGUCAUAGGCACAGCGGUGGUGGUGGCUGCCCUCACCAUGGCAGUGGAAUGGUGGCGGUGGAGAAACGUGCCGGAGCCCUACACCGCAUAUGGGCAGCGGAGACAGAGGAAUCAGUAGACUGCUUAAGACUGGAUGGUAUGAAGAAUGGCUUGAUAGCACAAGAGGCUCAUAGAUAAAGGAUUGCACGGCAAUAAUUUGAUAUUAUGAUUGUGAUAAUUGCAACAUGGUACUACUGCUAAUCAAAU